GAUGAACGCUGGCGGUAUGCUUUACACAUGCAAGUCAUACGGAAGUUAGUUUCGGCUAACUUCAGUGGCGGACGGGUGAGUAACACGUGAGAAUUCGCCUUUAGGAGGGGGAUAACAGGGGGAAACACCUGCUAAAACCCCAUAUGCCUUCGGGUCAAAAGAGUAAUCUGCCUAAAGAGAAGCUCGCGGCUGAUUAGCUAGUUGGUAGGGUAAAGGCCUACCAAGGCGACGAUCAGUAGCUGGUCUGAGAGGACGAUCAGCCACACUGGAACUGAGACACGGUCCAGACUCCUACGGGAGGCAGCAGUGAGGAAUUUUCUGCAAUGGGCGAAAGCCUGACAGAGCAAUACCGCGUGAGGGAAGAAGGCUUACUGAGUUGUAAACCUCUGUUACC
rnacentral:rRNA from 1 species